rnacentral:rRNA from 1 species
GAUGAACGCUGGCGGCGUGCCUAAUACAUGCAAGUCGAGCGAACAGACGAGGAGCUUGCUCCUCUCACGUUAGCGGCGGACGGGUGAGUAACACGUGUAUAACCUACCUAUAAGACUGGGAUAACUUCGGGACACCGGAGCUAAUACCGGAUAAUAUAUUGAACCGCAUGGUUCAAUAGUGAAAGACGGUUUUGCUGUCACUUAUAGAUGGAUCCGCGCCGCAUUAGCUAGUUGGUAAGGUAACGGCUUACCAAGGCAACGAUGCGUAGCCGAACUGAGAGGGUGAUCGGCCACACUGGAACUGAGACACGGUCCAGAGUCCUACGGGAGGCAGCAGUAGGGAAUCUUCCGCAAUGGGCGAAAGCCUGACGGAGCAACGCCGCGUGUGUGAUGAAGGUCUUCGGAUCGUAAAACUCUGUUAUUAGGGAAGAACAAAUGUGUAAGUAAAUAUGCACGUCUUGACGGUACCUAAUCAGAAAGCCACGGCUAACUACGUG